CGAGCAUGUGAAUGUGAGCGAAUCCCAAAAAUAACGUCUCAGUUCGGAUUGUAGUCUGCAACUCGACUACAUGAAGCUGGAAUCGCUAGUAAUCGCGAAUCAGAAUGUCGCGGUGAAUACGUUCCCGGGUCUUGUACACACCGCCCGUCACACCAUGGGAGUCGGAAAUGCCCGAAGUCUGUGACCUAACCGUAAGGAAGGAGCAGCCGAAGGCAGGUCGGAUGACUGGGGUGAAGUCGUAACAAGGUAAC
rnacentral:rRNA from 1 species